GUGUCAGCCGCCGCGGUAAUACGGAGGGUGCAAGCGUUAUCCGGAUUCACUGGGUUUAAAGGGUGCGUAGGUGGAUUGGUAAGUCCGUGGUGAAAUCCCCGAGCUUAACUUGGGAACUGCCAUGGAUACUAUUAAUCUUGAAUGUCGUGGAGAUGAGCGGAAUAUGUCAUGUAGCGGUGAAAUGCUUAGAUAUGACAUAGAACACCAAUUGCGAAGGCAGCUCGUUACGCGAAUAUUGACACUGAUGCACGAAAGCGUGGGGAUCAAACAGGAUUAGAUACCCGCGUAGUCC
rnacentral:rRNA from 1 species